AUCAUGAACCAUAUUUUUUGUUGUUGUAAAGCACUGCGAGGACCUUUCGGCUUUUUGUGUAACGGCCAAUAUAUUAAAUUUGAUUUCAUUUGAAGAAGACGUCCCACUGUGAUUUCCUCCAUGCGUAAUGAAACGACGGCGACGCGAUAAGGAAUGCGAGGGAGUCAUCUUAGCUUUGUGGAAAAUCUUUGGUCAGUUCAUUGCCGAGGCUGUUUGGCUGCCUGUCAUCAUCGUCUUUCAACAUCUUCGAUUUUGGAUGAAAACUCUUCGCAUCGCCAUGACUGUUGCAUCUCCAACCCCUUGAAAUGGCCGCCCCACUGGUAUCAUCAUAAAAGCCGUUCUGAGACAAGAAGGUGGGAGAUGAGACGUCAGUGCACGAGACCGCAUCAUGAGCAUCGAGAGUCUCGGCGGAGCGAUCGGGGACUCCCUGGGCUCUAGCCUGAUGGUACGACUGAGCGGCGUCCGAAAUUCUCUGUCCCUGAAAUCCGCGGGUCGGAUCAGCUCCCUUUUUCAAACCAUGGUCCCGACCGGCUACAGCAAGCUCCAGGAGGAGCGUCUGGCUAUGACAGACCUCUGUGACAAACCCGAAACUGGCGCUCUCCAAAACGGUUACAGACAAGAAACGCCUCACCUAGAAGGACGGCGCCUGCUGGACCGCGUUUCUCGCUCCUCCAUCACUCUGUCGGACUCCGGAGAUGGAAACUACUCAGAACUGGAGCCCAUGUUGGCUGAAAGGAGGCUUUCUGGAGAUAAAGCGGAAGAGGAUGAAGAGGAAGAGGUGCAACCUGUUGUCCACAUUCUGCCUAAGGAGUCGCCGCUGGCCAUGGCUUUGCAGAUCCUCGUGCCUUUCCUAUUGGCUGGUUUUGGAACCGUGUCCGCCGGUAUGGUGUUGGAUGUUGUGCAGCACUGGGAGGCGUUCCAGUACAUCACGGAGAUCUUCAUCCUGGUUCCCGCUCUGCUUGGCCUCAAGGGCAACUUGGAGAUGACGCUGGCCUCGCGCUUAUCGACGGCGGUGAACGUGGGCAAAAUGGAUUCUCCAAUAGAGAAGUGGAAUCUAAUAAUAGGCAACCUGGCACUCAAGCAGGUUCAGGCCACCGUAGUGGGCUUUUUGGCAGCCGUGGCGGCGGUGGUUCUCGGCUGGAUUCCAGAGGGGAAGUUUCAGAUGAGCCACGCCGUGCUGCUGUGCUCCAGCAGCGUCGCCACGGCUUUUAUUGCCUCUAUGCUGCAGGGUUUCAUCAUGGUCGGCGUGAUCGUGGGCUCCAAAAAGACCGGCAUCAACCCGGACAACGUGGCCACGCCUAUCGCCGCCAGUUUCGGCGACCUCAUCACGUUGGCCAUCCUGGCGUGGAUCAGCCAGGGCCUCUACAAGUGCCUGGAUUCCUACCCGUAUGUUUCCUCUCUGGUGUGUGCCUUCUUCAUGUGUCUGACGCCUCUGUGGAUCAUUGUCUCCUCCAAGCACCCGGCCAGCCGCACGCUGCUCUACUCCGGAUGGGAGCCGGUCAUCACGGCCAUGGUCAUCAGCAGCAUUGGAGGGCUCAUCUUGGAUAAAACGGUGUCAGACCCCAACCUGGCUGGAAUAGUAGUAUACACCCCUGUAAUCAAUGGUAUUGGCGGUAACUUGGUGGCCAUUCAGUCCAGCCGCAUCUCCACAUUCCUGCACUUCCACUGCGCCCCUGGGGAGGUCCCUGACGAGGCCAAGGGUUGCUACUACCCCUGCCGCACGUUCUUUGGAACCGGAGCAAAUCACCGGUCGGCUCAGGUUCUCCUCCUUCUGGUGAUCCCCGGGCAUCUAAUAUUCCUUUACACCAUCCACCUGAUGAAGAGCGGACACACCACGUUGACGCCCAUCUUCACGUCGGUUUAUUUGGCAGCCGCUCUGCUGCAGGUUCUGCUGCUGUUGUGCAUCGCCGAUUGGAUGGUGCAUUCCAUGUGGCGCAGCGGCAAAGACCCGGACAGCUUCUCCAUCCCGUACUUGACGGCGCUGGGCGACCUGCUGGGAACGGCGCUGCUGGCGCUUAGCUUCCACUUCUUGUGGCUCAUUGGUGACCAGGACAGCGACGUAGGCGACUAACGCCGGGUGACGUAAUCAAUUGUUCCGUAUUAGCAUCUUUUUUGCACCGAAGCUCUUGGUAUCACGAGAGACUACAUGUUACUAAUACUCUUUUUUUUGUGGUUAAAUGGAGGUGCCAUUUGAGAUUUUUUUCACCUUUGGACUUUAAAAGAAAAGCAAAAGGGGGACUAACAGUAACACACCAGCAAAAAAAAAAAAAAAAAGUCCACUGUGUGGAUAUGGCUUGUCAUUUGUAAAUUGAACUCCCAAGUUGGCUGCUUGUAACAUCGUGACCACAAGCAUGUGUGCAUUUCUAUGGUUGUCCAUCUCGGCACGGUCUGUUUGUUCAGUCUCUUGUGGGCAAAACAGGAAGUUUUCAAUUCCAGUUUAUGCCUCAAGAGUUUUUGUCAAUUGACAACAUGUUUGUUUCAUUUCAAAUUUGUCAGAUUUGGCAUCCAUCCACUGCCAUUGAAGCACGAGUAUGGAUGCCAUGUAAAUGUCUUUGUUGUUUGAAUAAAUAUUUCAUAUCUCAUUUAUUGUCAUUUUUUUCCCAGUUGAAUCUAAUUGAGCGGAUUUAAAAUUCAUUUUCACAGUAGCAGGCAGAUGUCACGAUACGUCCGUGCUCCAUAAUCGAUUGGGAAAAGUUCCAGCCAGCUCGUCCGACACGAGCUCCAAUAAAUGAUAAUAAUUGUCUUGAGUAAGGUCACCUAUUUAGGAUGCCAGACGUUUGGGGGUUCCGGAGCGACCUGAUACGAGCGCCGACUGGAUGGUGCAUUCCAUGUGGAGCAGCCGCUUCUCCAUCCCGUACUUGAUGGCUCUGGGCGACCUGCUGGAAACGAGGCCUACAACAAUGUUAACGAUGUUUUAAGAACUUCUAAUGGAGGACGACAACAACAAAAGGCCUACAACAAUGUUAACGACGCUUUUAGAACUUACUGUGAUGGAGCACGACAAAAAACAAACCUCAUGUCCCCUCUACCACCUCUGUGCAACCUGCUGUAGGACGACACUGGACAGAAAGCGCUCAACAAACUGGAGGAAGUAAGUCUCUUAUAACAAUACUGCAAGGCAUCUCUCGAUUCAAGUUCACCCUGUCGAGUCUCGACUCACCACGGGCCACUUAUCUAGUCAACGGCACGCACUUCGCCUUAGCAGAGCUUGGGUAAUUAUCAUAUUAAUGGUCUUAUGGUAAUAGGAGGAUCAGAGCUCUGCUUUGCGGUUAAGUGGAACAACGCCACGACUGAUGACAGCGACCCAUGUUGAAAGCUCGUUUCAUGGUUUCUUCGAAGUGCAUCAACAUUUGACGCAUUGAUUCCUUUAAUUACAUUCUCUUUGAGUGUGACUCCUUUAAUUAAUUGUAAAUUUUGUGUGAAUCCAAUGUGAAAUUUAAUAACACGUCUAUGGAAAUUGCUCCAUUAGGAGAGAAAGAGAAAA